UGCAAGUCGAGCGGACAGAAGGGAGCUUGCUCCCGGAUGUUAGCGGCGGACGGGUGAGUAACACGUGGGUAACCUGCCUGUAAGACUGGGAUAACUCCGGGAAACCGGAGCUAAUACCGGAUAGUUCCUUGAACCGCAUGGUUCAAGGAUGAAAGACGGUUUCGGCUGUCACUUACAGAUGGACCCGCGGCGCAUUAGCUAGUUGGUGAGGUAACGGCUCACCAAGGCGACGAUGCGUAGCCGACCUGAGAGGGUGAUCGGCCACACUGGGACUGAGACACGGCCCAGACUCCUACGGGAGGCAGCAGUAGGGAAUCUUCCGCAAUGGACGAAAGUCUGACGGAGCAACGCCGCGUGAGUGAUGAAGGUUUUCGGAUCGUAAAGCUCUGUUGUUAGGGAAGAACAAGUGCAAGAGUAACUGCUUGCACC
rnacentral:rRNA from 1 species